rnacentral:snRNA from 1 species
GUACCUAUCUGGCAGUGGAGAUACCAUGACCAAGAAUGUAGUUUUCCCAGGAUAAGGCUUAUCCAUGGCAGUCCAGAUGUGCUAACCCCUAAGAUUUCCCAAAUGUAGGAAACUUGACUGUAUAAUUUGUGGUAUGC